rnacentral:rRNA from 1 species
UACGUAGGGCGCAAGCGUUGUCCGGAAUUAUUGGGCGUAAAGAGCUCGUAGGCGGCCUGUCGCGUCUGCUGCGAAAUCCCGGGGCUUAACCCCGGGCGUGCAGUGGAUACGGGCUGGCUGGAGGCAGGCAGGGGAGAACGGAAUUCCCGGUGUAGCGGUGAAAUGCGCAGAUAUCGGGAGGAACACCGGUGGCGAAGGCGGUUCUCUGGGCCUGUACUGACGCUGAGGAGCGAAAGCGUGGGGAGCGAACAGG